GACAAGUCACUCCUUACCUGCUUAGUAGAUAGAUGGAGGCCAGAGACACAUACGUUUCACUUCCCAUGGGGAGAGAUGGCGCCUACUUUACAGGAUGUGUCGUACUUGUUGGGAUUACCUCUGGCCGGUGCUGCC
rnacentral:rRNA from 1 species